rnacentral:rRNA from 1 species
UUAACGCUAGCGGCAGGCAUAAUACAUGCAAGUUGAACGGCAGCACAGGUAGCAAUACCGGGUGGCGAGUGGCGCACGGGUGCGUAACACGUAUGCAACCUACCCUAUACAGGCGAAUAACCUUUAGAAAUGAGGGCUAAUACGCCGUGGUAUUAUCUUGGGGCAUCUUGAGAUAAUUAAAGAUUUAUCGGUAUAGGAUGGGCAUGCGUCCCAUUAGUUAGUUGGUAGGGUAACGGCCUACCAAGGCGAUGAUGGGUAGGGG